CAGGGCCUGCGUUUGGAUGCAAAGGGAUUGUGCUGAGACCUGAACUAAACAUUCUUCCUGGUCUGGAUUCCCCAUUCCCACCCUCUGCUCUAUCCCCAGGUGUUUAUAGCCACCUGCAGCAGGGAAUGUGCCCUACCAGGCUCCCAUGUACCUGAUCAGACAACAACUAUGCUGAGAUGGGGACAGAUCACCAGCAACACAGGAAAGAGGAGGAGUUCAGAAAGUCAGAUGAAAGAGAGUCUAAAGCAAUUUGAUCAGAGUCAAGGGCAUGACGACACAGCAAAGUAUUGGUGGAUGAGUGGCUAGAAGUUGCCUAGAAACACAGCCAAUGAGAGCCUGAGAGAU